UACAGAGGGUGCGAGCGUUAAUCGGAAUUACUGGGCGUAAAGCGUGCGUAGACGGUUAUUUAAGUCGGGGGUGAAAGCCCCCGGCUCAACUGGGGAGGGUCAUUCGAUACUGAUCGACUCGAAGGCAGGAGAGGGUAGUGGAAUCCCCGGUGUAGUGGUGAAAUGCGUAGAUAUCGGGAGGAACACCAGUGGCGAAGGCGACUACCUGGCCUGUUCUUGACGCUGAGGCGCGAAAGCUAGGGGAGCAAACGGG
rnacentral:rRNA from 1 species